ACUGAACGCUGGCGGCAUGCCUUACACAUGCAAGUCGAACGGCAGCGCGGACUUCGGUCUGGCGGCGAGUGGCGAACGGGUGAGUAAUACAUCGGAACGUACCCUGUUGUGGGGGAUAACUAGUCGAAAGAUUAGCUAAUACCGCAUACGACCUGAGGGUGAAAGUGGGGGACCGCAAGGCCUCACGCAGCAGGAGCGGCCGAUGUCUGAUUAGCUAGUUGGUGGGGUAAAGGCCCACCAAGGCGACGAUCAGUAGCUGGUCUGAGAGGACGAUCGGCCACACUGGGACUGGGACACGGCCCAGACUCAUACGGGAGGCGGCAGUGGGGAAGUUUGGACGAUGGGGGCAAGCCUGAUCCAGCAAUGCCGCGUGUGUGAAGCAGGCCUGCGGGUUGUAAAGCACUUUUGUCCGGGAAGAAAUCGCGCUGGUUAAUGCCGGGCGUGGAUGACGGUACCGGAAGAAUAAGCACCGGCUAACUACGUGCCAGCCGCCGCCGUAA
rnacentral:rRNA from 1 species